rnacentral:ncRNA from 2 species
AAGAACUCAAUGGGAAAUUUUCGAUUGUGAAAAACCGAAGGUACAAGUAUUGGAGCGGCCGCUGCAAUAUGAAUUUCUCAGGUAACAAGACUGUUGAGUUAUG